GCGGGCGAGGCGCACGUGGCCCCGGGACUGUGCCACGGACAGAGGCAGCCGGCCCAGUGAGUCGGGAAUGCUCAGCGCCUGUCUGUUCCAGCGGAAGAGGAGCACGGCGGCUUCCAGGUGUCCCAGGGCACAGGCCCACAUCUGAGGGUGGAGAGCGUGGACGUGAGGCCCGGGGCCCUUCCUCCCCAGGCCGGGUCUUCAGUUCCCAGCUCCACCGGCUCCUUCCCUGUGUCCCUCGACACUUUCCCACGGCCACGCGCCUGGCCCGCGCUGCCCCACGCACGCUCACCAGCGGGGUGCAAGAGAAGUGGUCCACGUUGAGCGGGUCAGCCUCUUGCUCUAAGUCCAGGCUCCCUGUCCCCACGCUCCUAGAGGGUUUGGGACAGGGACACGAGCCCAGUCGGUAAAAGCGGCAAAGCAGGCGCAUCACGAUCAAAGGAACGGGGGAGGAGGGCAGGCUGUCCAGGAGCACCGAGGUCAGUGCAGCAAGACGGUCAGAGACGCAUAAUGUGAGGGGCUGAGAGUCUGUCACGAGUGCAGAUCCUUCCCUCUUGGUGGGGCUCCGGGUCCUCUGGUCCCUCCUCCGUCCCCUGGUACUUCUGCCCCAGUCCCCCUGCCCGCCGCCCUGCUCACCGCCACUGGCUCAGGGUCUCGAUGAGACGGGCGUAGCCCUGGGCAGCAGCCAGGUGCAGGAGGCUCAUGCCCCGGAAGGGGCUUCCGUGGGCCAGACGUUCAGGACCCCUCCAGGUGGAGCGAGGGAUCAUGCUCUCUACCAACACCACCACACGGGCCUCGAACCCGGGUCCCUGGCCUUCGUCCUGCAGUACAGAUACCCUUGUGCAGGGACCCGAGCGUCUGGUCCCCUGGCUCAGGAUGGCCCUGGCCGCCCCACCCCUGUCCUCUCCGCUUCCUGUCCUGCCCUCCCCACACCUCCCGCACCAGCUUUCCUGCCACCUAGAGCUCUCUGGGCCAUCCGUGUCCCUGGUUUAGGGUCCUGGGUGUCCCCCACCCCCAGUUAGCUUCCUCCCCCGCAGACGGCUUCUCCCUCUCGGAGCCCGGAGUCCUCUCCCCGUCUGCUUCCUCGGAGACUUGGGCCCCUGCUCUCCUGGCCCCCUCCCCCCACCCUCUUCAGAUCAGAAAUAGUCUGAAGCCCGUCGUGCCAAGAGGGUGCCCAGAAUAGCCACUCCCGCCCCGCGGUGGAGCCGGAGUGGGGUGACGUCAGGGAGGAGGAAGCCGGGGACGGGAGAGCCACACACGAGCGCCAUCUCCUCCGGGAAGACCCUCCCGAGCUCCCUCCUCACACAGGUACCUGAAUCGGAGGCACGGCAGGACUGCGGCAGGGAGCCUGCCCGGCUGCUGCCAGGUCGGCCAUCCGUUUCUCCAUCUGCUCCAGCCGCUCCAGGAUGGACAUCCGGAACUGGUUGUCUGAGGGGCAAGAGGUACGGGAGGAGGCUGAGCGGUGGGUAGGGUCCGGGUGAUGCCCCGAACACAACUGGGCCUGUCCCAGGCUCUGGGGGUGAAGAGGCAGACUCACGUUCUUUCCUCUCCCCCAGAACGACGGCCCCUCUGCCCCACCCUCCCCGCCCCAAAUACGGUCCAUCAGGACGCAGGCCUUAAA
rnacentral:lncRNA from 1 species